AGACAUUCUAAGCCUUUUCUGCCACUUGGGCAGAAAAGCCAGACGUUUAGUGACUAGAUCCUGUAAGUGGGUGAGAAGAGAUGCUGUGCUGCCCCAUCAAAAUGCCGCAGUUGUGGCACAGGCGCAUCCUCUGCCGGCCCGGUGGCAGGCAGCAGGCGGGACGCUGCUGGCCAUUUGCAGCAGGUCGACUAAGUGGCUGCACCCGAGUUAACGAUGGCAAAUCCUAAGGUAAAAUUGCAGCCGUACAAAUUCGUCUGUCCCUUUUUUUGUGGUUUUCUCAAGUGAAAGCCUUAAGGGGGGGUCUGGGGUUUGUGGCUUUUGCCUAAGAGCAAAUGCACGUUCAUCCCUCUGACUUAAUAUUCAAGCCGUGUUUGCUCUUGCUGCCCCCCUCCUUCCCCUUAGGCUGAAGUCAUGCAUCAAGCAGUGACUCCCAGUGCCUGACACCAGCGAGCGCCUUGCACUGACUCAGCCAGGAGCAGCUCCAACUCAAACGCUGGGGUGGGAGGGAGGUGGCGGCAGGGAGGGCGAGAGGCACUCCUCCAGCACCACCCAGCACUUCUGUCUUUCUUCAGCCAAGCACUCCGCUCCCUCCUCUUUUGAAGUAAAGCCCUAGUUGCCAGAGAAGUCAGAGGGAGCUAUGUCUUUGGCCUCAGCCAGGAAACAGGAGUUGGCCCAGGGCCUGCCUGGACCCUCUGCUUUCUGGUUGCACUCCUGUUGCUGCAAAGCUGCCACCCUAAAUUUUAGCCAAAGGUAAAUUUACUUGGCCCUCCAGUAGCUUAGUUUUGCAUUAAUAUCUGACAUCUCCUUGCUGAUACCGGCUGACACCCAGCCUGGCCAUCACUGGACCCUUGAACCUCCUCCUCACCGCCUCCCCUCUCCAUCCUUCCACAUCCCUCCAGCAAGCAGCAGAGCCCACACUGCCCACCAGACCCUCAGCCUGGCGCCGGCUGGAGCUCAGCUCUCAUGCUAGCACACCCUUCGUCUUUCCAGACCAUUUUAAGGACCUAACCUUUCCUCUCUGCUCUUAUUCCAAGAUUUUCCUUCCGGCCUUUUUCACCUGGAUUCUGGAUUACUGCUGCGCUCCUGGCCCCGGCAGCUGUAGCCUUGCCUCCUGCAAGCUCCCACGGGAAAGUCCUUGUCCUGGUUUGCCGAUGGGGCUGCCUCACCCCUCUUUGGAGCUCACACCACCAUCACCGCCAAAGGCUGGGAAGGAGAAAGGAAGGCGGAGAAGGAGUGCCACGGCAAGGUGCUCUUGCCCUGCCGCAGAGCCUCCUGCACUGGCAGUCCUCCCUGCUGAAUAUGGGAAGGUGCCAGGUUCACAAUGCAAAGCUCAGCGGUGCCCCACUCCUUCAUCUUCACAUAUAUGAGAUAACCUGUCCAUAGUCCAGCUGAGCUGAAUUUAAUCCUGACAACGAGGACUUGGUGAAAAGCUAGAGAAAAAGACCUAGAGGAAGAACAGGUCUCCUGAGUUGUGAUCAGCAAUCUACCAUCAGUCCUCAGAUACUUCUGUGAGCUUCAGUGAAGGUUAAACACUCGUUGCAGAUGUGCCUUUCUGUAAAAGGGUAGAAGACAGCACGGUUUACAAGAUAUUAAAUGCAUCUUACUCUACGUUAGCUAUUAAAAUUAGAGUCACUUCUAAUGGUUCCUACAGAUUUUUUAACAGUUGUGUAGGACUUUUCCAUAAGGACUCAAGUAAGAGUUUAAGGACAGGGAAAAGUAAAAGAAGGUAAUGAAGUAGAUAUAGACUGUAAUUUUUUUUACAGUUUCUUAGAGUACAGUAUUUUUAAUAAAAAAAUAUUGCCCUGGAGAAAAUAACCUUCCAUUUGGCACAAAAUAUAAUUCUGGACAACAACCAGAUCUGCAUACA